UCCUCCAAGGCUAAAUACUCCUAACUGACCGAUAGUGAACCAGUACCGUGAGGGAAAGGCGAAAAGAACCCCUGUGAGGGGAGUGAAAUAGAACCUGAAACCGUAUACGUACAAGCAGUGGGAGCCCCAUCACUAAGUGCCUUUAGUGAUGUGACUCACAAAGUGCUAACCCUUGAUAUAGCGAUUAACGUUGACCUGCGAAGCAGCCAACGGUAAACCGCCAAAAUCAAGCAGGGUGCUUAGUGAUGGGGUGACUGCGUACCUUUUGUAUAAUGGGUCAGCGACUUAUAUUUAGUAGCAAGGUUAAGCGAAUAGCGGAGCCGUAGCGAAAGCGAGUGUUAACUGCGCGUUGAGUUGCUAGGUAUAGACCCGAAACCCGGUGAUCUAGCCAUGAGCAGGUUGAAGGUUGAGUAACAUCAACUGGAGGACCGAACCCACUGACGUUGAAAAGUCAGGGGAUGACUUGUGGCUGGGGGUGAAAGGCCAAUCAAACCGGGAGAUAGCUGGUUCUCCCCGAAAUCUAUUUAGGUAGAGCCUCGGACGAAUUCCAUUGGGGGUAGAGCACUGUUAAGGCUAGGGGGUCAUCCCGACUUACCAACCCUUUGCAAACUCCGAAUACCAAUGAGAACUAUCCGGGAGACACACGGCGGGUGCUAACGUCCGUCGUGGAGAGGGAAACAACCCAGACCGCCAGCUAAGGUCCCAAAAUAUUGCUAAGUGGGAAACGAUGUGGGAAGGCACAGACAGCUAGGAGGUUGGCUUAGAAGCAGCCACCCUUUAAAGAAAGCGUAAUAGCUCACUAGUCGAGUCGGCCUGCGCGGAAGAUGUAACGGGGCUAAGCAAUAUACCGAAGCUGCGGCAGCACAGUUUACUGUGCUGGGUAGGGGAGCGUUGUGUAAGUGGAUGAAGGUGAGUUGUAAAGCUUGCUGGACAUAUCACAAGUGCGAAUGCUGACAUGAGUAACGAUAAUGGGAGUGAAAAACUCCCACGCCGGAAGACCAAGGUUUCCUGUCCCAUGCUAAUCAGGGCAGGGUAAGUCGGCCCCUAAGGCGAGGCAGAAAUGCGUAGUCGAUGGGAAACGGAUUAAUAUUUCCGUACUUAUAUAAUCAGUGAUGGAGGGACGGAGAAGGCUAGGCAAGCUUGGCGUUGGUUGUCCAAGUGAAAGUGCGUAGACCGAGAACUUAGGUAAAUCCGGGUUCUUAAAGUCGAGACACGAGACGAGCCACUAAGGUGGUGAAGUUGUUGAUGCCCUGCUUCCAGGAAAAGCUUCUAAACUUAUGAUUAUAUGAACCGUACCCCAAACCGACACAGGUGGUCAGGUAGAGAAUACUAAGGCGCUUGAGAGAACUCGGGUGAAGGAACUCGGCAAAAUUGUACCGUAACUUCGGGAGAAGGUACGCCUCUGUGUGUGAAGACUUCGCGUCGUAAGCACAUGGAGGCCGCAGUGACCAGGUGGCUGGGACUGUUUAUUAAAAACACAGCACUCUGCAAACUCGUAAGAGGACGUAUAGGGUGUGACACCUGCCCGGUGCCGGAAGGUUAAUUGAUGGGGUUAGUUUUCGGACGAAGCUCUUGAUCGAAGCCCCGGUAAACGGCGGCCGUAACUAUAACGGUCCUAAGGUAGCGAAAUUCCUUGUCGGGUAAGUUCCGACCUGCACGAAUGGUGUAACCAUGGCCACGCUGUCUCCACCCGAGACUCAGUGAAAUUGAAAUCGCAGUGAAGAUGCUGUGUACCCGCACCUAGACGGAAAGACCCCGUGAACCUUUACUACAGCUUGGCACUGAACAUUGAACCUACAUGUGUAGGAUAGGUGGGAGGCUUUGAAGCAUUGUCGCUAGAUGAUGUGGAGCCGUCCUUGAAAUACCACCCUUGUAUGUUUGAUGUUCUAACAUAGUUCCCUUAUCGGGAAUGUGGACAGUGUCUGGUGGGUAGUUUGACUGGGGCGGUCUCCUCCCAAAUAGUAACGGAGGAGCACGAAGGUUAGCUAAUCACGGUCGGACAUCGUGAGGUUAGUGCAAUGGCAUAAGCUAGCUUAACUGCGAGACAGACACGUCGAGCAGGUACGAAAGUAGGUCAUAGUGAUCCGGUGGUUCUGUAUGGAAGGGCCAUCGCUCAACGGAUAAAAGGUACUCCGGGGAUAACAGGCUGAUACCGCCCAAGAGUUCAUAUCGACGGCGGUGUUUGGCACCUCGAUGUCGGCUCAUCACAUCCUGGGGCUGAAGU
rnacentral:rRNA from 1 species